GCUCGGUGCACAGGCGACGAACGGUGCCAGGAAACUGCUCCAAAGAGCUACCCUGCAACGAGCAGCGGUGCACCACGAAUUGUAUUGUGGAAACCUGUGACAACAAAAGAACAAUGCGUUUGAUACAAGCUUUUUAUUCGCUAAUUUAGAACUGUCACGAGGGAACGGUUAUGGAAAUUUUUGUGGAUAUCUUUGUAACUUGGCUCCCCUGUAAUUCUUUGUAAGCCAUGGAAGACUAGCGGAUGGUAUUAACUCACUGCCAAAGGAAAGGGAGAACUUUUAAACGAGAUGAGUAUACAUUUUGUGAAAUCAUCAUCCACAGGGAAUAUUCCCCUCAAAAUUCCACCUUUAUUUUACCUUCCACCUGAUUCACUUUUCUGUAUUAAUCAUUAUUACGUUUUUGCAUAUCAAAUGAGCAAUUUUGGGACAUGUAAAGUUUAACACGAUUUCCUGACAUAAAAGUAGCAUGAUAUAACAUUUCUAUUAUAUCAAUUUAAAGUAUGAAAAUUGAAAUUUAUGAAUAGCUAUACAUAUAAAUGCUUUAUUAAUAUUAUUAAUACAAAUUGACUGACUAACGAAUGAAUAAUGUGUUUCAGAUUGGACAUUCCGUUACAAUAAAAUGAUGUCAAAAAGAUGCAAUAAUAUGAUAUUUGAAGAAUCUAUGAACGUUUAAUCGGUCAUUUAAUAGUUCUCCAACUGUAUGCAUCGAACAAACGGACGUUUCAAACAACUACCGAAUAUGAGAUCGUAAAAAACAUGCCACAGAGUGGAAUGUUGACACACGAGGAAAAAGAGUAUCGUAAAUUGAAACUACGCGUUAAAUGAAAUUUUUUUGCUUUCAAAAAUCGAACGUCAUACCUCUUCAACGGCUAUGUAUAAUGUUACAUGUUUCAUCGUGUUCCCGGACAAGUAUUGGACUGCAAUUGUUUUAAAAAAAUUAGUCGAGUUGAGAGUUAUUUUUCGCUGAUUUAAUUUGAAAAUCGUAAACACCCGGUCCUUAAACAAUUCCGCGAUUUUUCCAAGAGAAAAGAGGGAAAUGGAGCGUCAAAGCUGCGCCACCAGACGUUAUGCAGAUGCCUUAUUAUUUGUUCGAGCAAAUAGUCCGGUUGCUAGUGAAAUCACGGAUGUAACUCGUUAAAGAAAAAUAUUCUUAUAUCAGAGAUAAUGAUCCUUCUUAUUUUUAUGAAUUUAUUCUCGACAAUUCAAGUACUUAUCGUACGAAUCGUUGUCGCGGUAUAACAUAGAAUUUUCAAAUAAUAAUCUGUUAGUUUGCAAAUUAAUAGAUCUUAAACUUAGGAACUUAAAGUUGAUAGCUAAUGAGCUUUUAAUUACGUUUUUAUCACUUUCACUAAGUUCCCACGCUUCGUCAGAUACCACGCUAUCUAAAACAUAGAAAUGAUAAUCCACAUGAAAUUUAUGAUUCAACUUAUCAGGUGUUAGCCCAGUUCUGAAAGUAGGCUACAGAUGUAUUAGAUGUUAGGAUAUACUAUAGACAGAAAGAUUGGAGUUUGUGCACAUCUUUUAAACUGGAUUUCAUACUAAAUCCUCUUUUCCCUUGAAACAGUUUGCUCUACUAACUUUGUCAAAGUACAGGGACAAAAAUUUAAGCGAUAUUAAACGAGACGUUUCUUCAAGUACCAUUGUUCGUUCUUAGAUCGAUGGAAUGGGUAUUAAUAGAUUCUUUACUAUCGUUAUCGAUUCAAUAUAUACAAUUGCUCGUUAAGCAUUAUUAAAGCGUUAUUAAAAAAUUUUGCACAUGGAAGUCUUCUGUAUCAUCUCUGAAUGGCAAUUGCUAACAUUUUUAAUUUGAUUUUACAAUAGCAAAAUUAUACACCUAUGGUUUACUAAAAUCACGUGCAAGAGAUUGUCGGAUUUAUGUUAUAGUUCAUUUCUAGGCUAAGCAUCGGUUUGUCUCACAUUAAAGUACCAUGUAAUCUCGUAUCUCGUAAUCGACUCAGUAUUUGAUAUGGUUUCACCCUCGCAACCUGUACUAUUCCGUUUUCCACGUUAAUCUUCCAUUGUUAAACGCAAUUACAAUUUUAUCCCAGGAGAUUAAUUAAUCGUCCUUUCGCUAUAAUUUCCUUUCAGCCUUGAUUAUUUGUGAAUACUCGGAUAAGUCUGUUGAAACAGCAUGUAAAUUUGCAUCAUCUAUGUAAUUCUCAAUUUUCUCUGCAAGUAGGAAAAUAUCAUUUCAGGAUCGAGCUACAUAAGGUAGUCCUCUGAAGCGUAUUCUGAUGUCACUCUAGCAAAUAAUGUUCUCGUAGGAGGUUCCAACAGUGACGUUAAUUAGCUACCUUAUUUAGCUUCGCGUAAUAUUUAAUGUUAGGUAAUAUUACAGGAUACAUUAGUCACCAAAAGUGUGUAAUUACAUUCGAUACAAUUUCAUAACAUAAAAGUAUCAGAAAAUUGUAGUUAUUCCACAUCAGUUUAAAGUUUAAAGUUCGAUGAGAACAGCUGCAUAAGCAUUUUAUUAAUAUUCAUUAUACAAAAGGGCAGGUUGUUAGAACAAACAAUGCUUCAACUAAUUUGCAAUUUACCAUUGUACAUCGGCGAAUAUUCAAUUUUUAAUUCCAAAUCGAUAAUGGGUUUUUGAUAUAGUAUAAAAAAUUUGCAAUUUUUAUACUUAAAUGAAGAACCAAAAAUUUGUUUAGUAUGACUUUAUACGAAAGUUGUUUUAAAAAUAUUUCUUUACUUUCAAUAUAGAAUAAGGUUGCUUUCCCCAAGUUAUAUAUAAAACACAUAAAUAAGGAGGUAUGCCAAUUUGUUUGUUAUUUUUCAGAAAUAAGAUCGACAGGAGAUUCCGUUUGCUGAAGCGUUUAUUUUGCUCAAAGUUUCCGCGAGCAAAUGCCUCUUAAAUUCAAGAAGCUAUUGUCGAAGAUGUAAUGGCGAUGACUAGUCUGCAGAUGUUUCUCUCCAGUUUCAGAAAGCAAAUCAGGGACGAUUGGACAAACUCUUUGAAAACUUUUCAGUUUUCUGCAUGGAUGCGCUUAAAACAGAUCACGAGUUUGCAUUUCGUUUCAUCGAGGGACCAGAAACGAUUAAACACGAGGUGAAUAAACAGAACUGGAUCAGAGAGGGACAUUAAUGGAACAGAGGUUUUCGUGGGAAUGAAAUUCCUCAGAAAAGAAAAUCGCAGUAGAACAAAUAUUGGGUUGUUGAAUAAUUUCUAUUGAUUGAUAAAAACGUAACGCUAAUUGAA